rnacentral:rRNA from 1 species
UACGAAGGGGGCUAGCGUUGUUCGGAAUUACUGGGCGUAAAGCGCGCGCAGGCGGUCUUCCAAGUCAGUGGUGAAAGCCUGGAGCUCAACUCCAGAACUGCCAUUGAAACUGUUGGACUUGAGUACGAGAGAGGUGAGUGGAAUUCCCAGUGUAGAGGUGAAAUUCGUAGAUAUUCGGAAGAACACCAGUGGCGAAGGCGACUCACUGGACACGUAUUGACGCUGAGGUGCGAAAGCGUGGGGAGCAAACAGG